rnacentral:rRNA from 1 species
CCAGAAAGCCACGGCUAACUACGUGCCAGCAGCCGCGGUAAUACGUAGGUGGCAAGCGUUAUCCGGAAUUAUUGGGCGUAAAGCGCGGCGCAGGUGGUUUCUUAAGUCUGAUGUGAAAGCCCACGGCUCAACCGUGGAGGGGUCAUUGGAAACUGGGAGACUUGAGUGCAGAAGGAGGAAAGUGGAAUUCCAUGUGUAGCGGUGAAAUGCGUAGAGAUAUGGAGGAACACCAGUGGCGAAGGCGACUUUCUGGUCGGUAACUGACAUUGAGGCGCGAAAGCGUGGGGAGCAACCAGGAUUAGAUACCCUGGUAGUCCACGCCGUAAACGAUGAGUGUUAAGUGUUAGAGGGUUUCCGCCCUUUAGUGCUGAAGUUAACGCAUUAACCACUCCCCCUGGGGAGUACGGCCGCAAGGCUGAAAUUCAAAGGAAUUGACGGGGGCCCGCCCAAGCGGUGGACCAUGUGGUUUAAUUGGAAGCAACGGGAAGACCCUUACCAGGUCUUGACAUCUUCUGACAACCCUAGAGAUAGGGCUUUUCCUUCGGGACCAGAGUGCCAGGUGGUCCAUGGUUGUCGUCAGCUCGUGUCGUGAGAUGUUGGGUUAAGUCCCGCAACGAGCGCAACCCUUGUUUUUAGUUGCCAUCAUUAAGUUGGCCAUUUUAAGGUGACUGCCGGUGCCAAACCGGAGGAAGGUGGGGAGGACGUCAAAUCAUCAUCCCCCUUAUGCCCUGGGCUACACACGUGUUCCAAUGGACGGUACAAAGAGCUGCAAGACCGGGAGGGGGAGCUAAUUUCAUAAACCCGUUUUCAGUUCGGAUUGUAGGCUGCAAUUCGCUUCCAUGAAGCUGGAAUCGUUAGUAAUCGCGGAUCACCAUGCCGCGGUGAAUACGUUCCCGGCCCUUGUCCACACCCCCCGUCCCACCACGAGAGUUUGUACCACCGGAAGUCGGUGGGGUACCCUUUGGAGCCAGCCGCCUAA